UAUCAUGCAAGUCGAGCGAACNGCAUAAGGAGCUUGCUCCUUUGACGUUAGCGGCGGACGGGUGAGUAACACGCUGGAUAACCUACCUAUAAGACUGGGAUAACUUCGGGAAACCGGAGCUAAUACCGGAUAACAUAUUGAACCGCAUGGUUCAAUAGUGAAAGGCGGCUUUGCUGUCACUUAUAGAUGGAUCCGCGCCGUAUUAGCUAGUUGGUAAGGUAACGGCUUACCNAGGCAACGAUACGUANNCGACCUGAGAGGGUGAUCGGCCACACUGGAACUGAGACACGGUCCANANUUAUACGGGAGGCAGCAGUAGGGAAUCUUCCGCAAUGGGCGAAAGCCUGACGGAGCAACGCCGCGUGAGUG
rnacentral:rRNA from 1 species